GAGGGUAUAGCUCAGUGGUUAAGUGUGUGCUUGGCAUGUGCAAGGUCCUGGGUCCAAUCCCCAGUACCACUG
rnacentral:tRNA from 1 species